rnacentral:rRNA from 1 species
UUGAUCAUAGCUCAGAUUUCAAACGCUGGCGGAUGCUUUAAGACACGCAAGUCGAACGCACGGACUUCGGUCUGGUGGCGAGCAGCAACGGUGCAUAAUGGCAUCGGAACGCCUAGUAGCGGGGGGAUAAUCACGCGAAAGCGUAGCUAAUACCGCAUACACCCUUCGGGGGAAAGCGGGGACCUUCGGGCUCGCACUACAGGAGUGGGUCGAUAUCGGAUUAGCUAGUUGGUGGGCAACGGCUCACCAAGGCGACGAUCCCAGAAGGACGGAGAGGGAGACGACCAGCCACACUGACCGAGACACGGCCCAGACUCCUACGGGAGGCAGCAGUGGGGAAUUUUGGAUGAAUGGGAAACCUGAUCCAGCCAUCCCGCAAAGUAUGAAGGCCUUCGGGUUGUAAAGCACUUUGGUAGGAAGAAAUUGCACGGGAUAUAACACCCUGUGUGCAACCGACGGUACCUGCAGAAUAAGCAGAACGGGCUAACUACGUGCCAGCAGCCGCGGUAAUACGUAGGGUGCGCGUUAAUCGGAAUUACUGGCGCGUGCGCAGGCGGUCUGAAAGAAAGAUGUGAAUCCCAGAGCUUAACUUUGGAAACUGCAUUUUUAACUGACGAGCGUGUCAGAGGGAGGAAUUCUGCGGGCAGCAAUGCGUAGAUAUGCGGAGAAACAUCUGAUGGCGAAGCGCAGCUCUCCUGGGAUAACACUACGCCUUUACGCACGAAAGCGCGGGAGCAAACAACAGAUUGACAUCCUUGCAGUCCACGCCCCAAACGAUGUCAACUAGCUGCCGGGGCCUUCGGGCCUGGUAGCGCAGCUAACGUUGGGCUGGACCGUUCAGGGGAGUACGGUCGCAAGAUUAAAACCCAAAGGAAUUGAUUGGGACCCGCACAAGCGGUGGAUGAUGUGGACGCACCUGAUGCAACGCGAAAACCUUACCUACCCUGACAUGUCUGGAAUCCCGAAGAGAUUUGGGAGUGCUCGCAAGAGAACCGGAACACAGGUGCUGCAUGGCUGUCGCUCGCCGUGUCGUGAGAUACGGCUAAGUCCCACCGAGCGCGAACCUUGUCAUUAGUUGCUACGAAAGGGCACUCAUCGAGACUGCCGGUGACAAACCGAGGAAGGUGGGGAUGACGUCAAAGUCCUACGGUCUUAUGGGUAGGGGCUUCACACGUCAUACAAUGGUCGGGACAGAGGGUCGCCAACCCUGAGGGAGCCAAUCCCAGAACCCGAUCGUAGUCCGGAUUGCAGUCUGCAACUCGACUGCGUGAAGUCGGAAUCGCUAGUAAUCGCGGAUCAGCAUGUCGGUGAAUACGUUCCCGGUCUUGUACACACCUGCCCGUCACACCAUGGGGAGUGGGGUUUUACCAGAAGUAGUUAGCCUAACCGUAAGGAGGGCGAUUACCACGGUAGGAUUCAUGACUGGGGUGAAGUCGCAGAAUAUGCAG